rnacentral:rRNA from 1 species
AUUGAACGCUGGCGGCAGGCCUAACACAUGCAAGUCGAACGAGUGGCGGACGGGUGAGUAAUGUCUGGGAAACUGCCUGAUGGAGGGGGAUAACUACUGGAAACGGUAGCUAAUACCGCAUCCAAUCAGAGGUGCCCAGAGGGGAUUAGCUUGUUGGAGGGGUAACGGCUCACCAAGGCGACGUGCCCUAGCUGGUCUGAGCGGAUGACCGGCCAACCUGGAACGGAGCCACGGUCCAGACUCCUACGGUAGGCAGCAGUGUGGAAUAUUGCACAAUGGGCGUGAGCCUGAUGCAGCCAUGCCGGGUGUAUGAAGAAGGCCUUCGGGUUGUAAAGUACUUCAGCGGGGAGGCGUUACCCUCAGAAGAAGCACCGGCUAACUCCGUGCCAGCAGCCGCGGUAAUAC